UACGUAGGGGGCAAGCGUUGUCCGGAUUUAUUGGGCGUAAAGAGCGUGUAGGCGGCUAGACAGGCCCGUUGUGAAAACUCGAGGCUCAACCUCGAGACGCCGAUGGAAACCGUCUGGCUAGAGUCCGGAAGAGGAGAGUGGAAUUCCUGGUGUAGCGGUGAAAUGCGCAGAUAUCAGGAAGAACACCCGUGGCUAAGGCGGCUCUCUAGUACGGUACUGACGCUGUGACGCGAAAGCGUGGGGAGCGAACAGG
rnacentral:rRNA from 1 species